AGUAACACGUAAGCAACCUGCCUAUUAGAGGGGAACAACAGUUAGAAAUGACUGCUAAUACCGCAUAUACCUAAGUAUCGCAUGAUACAAUAGGGAAAGGAGCAAUCCGCUGAUAGAUGGGCUUGCGUCUGAUUAGCUAGUUGGUGGGGUAAAGGCCUACCAAGGCGACGAUCAGUAGCCGGACUGAGAGGUUGAACGGCCACAUUGGGACUGAGAUACGGCCCAGACUCCUACGGAAGGCAGCAG
rnacentral:rRNA from 1 species